AAAAAACAAAGCAGAAGAUCCUGUUAAUAACAAUUCUGAGGCCAGGGUGGCUGGCCAAAAGCCACCAAGGGUAGCAUGACAACUAUAUCUUGGAACUGCCAGGGGUUCGUGCAACGCCAGGCAGUUCUAGCUCUCAGAGAACUCAAGAAUAACUUCUGCCCCUCCCCUCCAUUGCUUUCCUCAUGGAGACAAAAAUCAGGCAAGGAAGUACGGAGAAUUUGGUAAUGCAACGUGUCUCCACUGUUUCUUUUUCAAUCUUAAUUAAUGGAGCUCCGCCAAGGAACCCACUUUCGCCAUUAUUGUUUCUUUUCAUUGAGCAGGGUCUAUCAUGCUUAAUUCAAAAGGAAGUUCAAGAAGGGAACUUGCACGGCAUCAAAGUUAACAGAUACACUCCAAGGAUCACAAAUGUUCUCUUUGCAGAUGAUAUUUUACUGUUUGGGAAGGCAUCAAGAAGGGGGGCUGAGAGAAUUAAAGAUCUAUUAGCAACCUAUUCAGCAGCAACUGGACAGCGGGUUAACUUCCAGAAAUCUAGUAUCUUCUUCAGUAAGGGAGCUCCACUUAACCUCAAGAGGGAAAUUAGGGAUUUGUUAGACAUGAAUGAAAUAAGAGAAUCAGAGAAGUACUUAGGCCUUCCAUCUAUCUGGGGUAGAUCGAAGAAAUAGGUUUUGGCUUUCAUUAUGGAUAAAAUCUUAUCAAAAACUCAAGCUUGGAAGCAGAAGCUACUUUCUCAGGCAGGUAGAGAGACUCUUAUCAAAUCAGUCCUCAGUGCCAUUCCUUCGUAUGCUAUGGCAAUCUUCAAAUUUCCGAAAUAUUUCUGUUGUCAACUAAACAGCUCUAUCUCAAGCUUCUGGUGUGGCAGGAAAGAUAAAGAGAAGAGGAUGUGCUGGGUUAGUUGGAGGCAAGCUUCUUAUCCAAAAUUUAUGGGAGGAUUGGGGUUUAGAGAUUUUCACCAUUUUAAUGUAGCAAGUUUAGCAAAGCAGGGGUGGGACCUGAUACCUAAACCAGACAGCCUUUGGGCAAAAGUUAUUAAGGGUUUAUAUUUCCCCCACGGUUCUUUUUGGAAUGCUAGAAAAUCCAAGAAGGGAUCAUGGGUGUGGAAUAGCCUUCUUGAAGGUAGAAGUCUUCUAAAAAAGGGUACACGCUUUAACAUAGGAGAUGGAGGCAAUACGUUGAUAUGGGAGGACCCAUGGUUCCAUCUAUUCAAGGCUUCAAAGUUCCUAGACCUGUCCACUGUCCUCUGCACAUUAAUUUGGUGAAAGACUUAAUUGAUCCUGACAAUCCAGUAUGGAAGGAAAAUCUGGUGAAAUCCUAAUUCAAAACGGAAGUUGUUCCGGCCAUAUUAUCAAUCCCAGUGGCUCCAAGGGGUAAUCAUGACUUUUUGAUUUGGCACUUUGAAAGAAAUGGCAAGUAUUCCGUCCGGUCGGGUUAUAAGUUAUUAGCGAAGGAAGAGUUGGAAAGUUAUUUCUCUAGGCCAACAACGUCCUAUACUACACCGGCUCAAACGUGGAAAGUAACCUGGAGUCUCCCAAUCCCACCUAAAGUAAAGGUGUUCCUAUGGAAGGCUAUGCUAAAUGCUCUACUAGUUCGGGGGAACCUCAAAAAUAGAGGAAUGAAGGUAAAUUCAGUUUGUCCUAUUUGUAGUAAAGAGAUUGAGUCAGUUGAGCACACUUUAUUUUAGUGUAAUCAUGCAAAAGCAUCAUGGUUUGCUAGCCCUUGUGCCUUUAAGCCAGAACCUGUUGGCUUUAAGUCUUUUUGUGUAUGGUGGUCUAUCAAGGUUGCUUCUAUUAAGGAAGGUAGUUUCACUCGAUCUUUUAGUUGUAGUAGCCAUCACAGCUUGGCAGAUUUGGAAGGAAAGAAAUAGGGCUGUUUUUGAAUUUUGUAUCCCCAAUUCAAUGACUACAGCUAAACGCAUCAAGGAAACUAUUACUGAGCUUCAAUAUUGGUCAAAUAAUGAUGAUUCAUCCCGAAGGAAUUCCUGCCAUGGGCAGCCUGCUGAGACCCAAUAAGUUUGGUGUCCUCCUGAUAGAGGUAAGCUUAAAUUUAACUGUGAUGUGGCUUGGCAACCUGGAUCUUCGACUGCAGCUGUGGGUGUAGUGGCCAGAAAUUUCAAGAGUAAUCUUGUAGAUGGAGUGGCUAAGGAUAUAUUUUGCAACUCUGCACUUCAAGGGGAAGCUCAAGCAAUUUUAGAAGCUUUAAAGUUAGCCAAAUCCAUGGAAUGUGCAUCCAUCCCUAUAGAGUCUGAUCCAGAAAUUUUGGUAACAGCUAUUAAAAAUGCUUAUAAUAUUGACUAUUGGGAGAUUCAAGCGUCAGUUAGAGCUAUUCUUCAGCUAGGCCAACAAUUUCAGUUUGUCUAAUUUUCUCAUAUCAAAAGACGAGGAAAUGGUUUUGCUCACUGCCUUGCAAAGUUAAAACUAAAAAAUCAGCUCCCUUGUAAUUGGAUAGUUGCGAUCCCUUCCAUUCUCUCCCGUUCUCUUGCUUUUGAUGCCCAAUCCCUUCCAUUCUCUCCCGUUCUCUUGCUUUUGAUGCCCAAAGGGCUGUGUAAUGCUUUUAUUAGCAAUUAAAAAAAAAAGUUGGUCCAGUGUAAUGCGGUCUGAAAUUUAUCACAAAUAACAAAGCCAUGAACCAAAAUAAAAUGUAUGAAACGCCUCCUCCUGGCUUUUUACAACAAAGGGUCAUCAUAAGAUGUUCCUAAACCAAAAAUUGAACGUAACAUGGCAACAACAAUCGCCAUCUCUCCUUGAAAUUGCACAGAUGAACUUGAAAGCUCAAACCUGUCAUAAACCUUGCUUAUGCAGCAUCAUCUUUACCUUCCACUUACGGAAUUCGGAUCCUCAUUUACCAAUGCGAAGCUCUUCUCCCCCAAACUCUUCAUCUGACCUGAGUUGAGAUUCAAAAAACGCAUGGCAGCCAGAGAGAAAUCUCAUAGGAUCAGCCAUGUAACCAGAUAUCCCCUAGAUGUCCUGGAUGUUGAGUUUUCUACUUGCCACAAGAACAUAUGAUUAAACACGCCAUUGACAAUACAUAAUUAAAAUGACAAUUCAAGUCUCAUAUAACAUAGAAUGAGGUCAUAGUAAAUAGCUAAAUCCCUCAAUGACCCCACAACAGGUCCCAA
rnacentral:misc_RNA from 1 species